rnacentral:rRNA from 1 species
UACAGAGGUCUCAAGCGUUGUUCGGAUUCAUUGGGCGUAAAGGGUGCGUAGGCGGCGCGGUAAGUCGGGUGUGAAAUCUCGGAGCUUAACUCCGAAACUGCAUUCGAUACUGCCGUGCUUGAGGACUGGAGAGGAGACUGGAAUUUACGGUGUAGCGGUGAAAUGCGUAGAUAUCGUAAGGAAGACCAGUGGCGAAGGCGGGUCCCUGGACAGUUCCUGACGCUGAGGCACGAAGGUCAGGGGAGCAAACAGG